UACGUAGGAUCCAAGCGUUGUCCGGAUUUACUGGGUGUAAAGGGUGCGCAGGCGGACUUAUAAGUCAGAGGUGAAAUCUCACAGCUUAACUGUGAAACUGCCUUUGAUACUGUAGGUCUUGAAUUAGGGAGAGAUUCGUGGAAUUCCGAGUGUAGCAGUGAAAUGUGUAGAUAUUCGGAAGAACACCAGAGGCGAAGGCAGCGAAUUGGCCCUAUAUUGACGCUCAGGCACGAAAGCAUGGGGAUCAAACAGG
rnacentral:rRNA from 1 species